ACAGAUGCCGUUCCUAAUGAAUUCGACGCAGCAUCAAGAUCUGGUGCAUUCAGAAGUCAACAAAGGCCAGCUUUUUGCUACUACGACCCUGACAAAGGCCCAUGUAACGGUAGAUAUCCGAGAUUUUACUACGAUUAUACACAGAACAUCUGCAAGUUUUUCUUCUAUGGCGGUUGUGGUGGAAACCCAAACAAUUUCAUUACCCAAACACAAUGUAUGAGGGUUUGUAAGAGUUACUACCAAUGACUAUGAGUAUAUUUAUAUAAAUAUAGUGUUUAUUUAAAUAAUAAAUAAAUGGGUUUAGCAAUU
rnacentral:lncRNA from 1 species